AAGUCGUAACAAGGUUUCCGUAGGUGAACCUGCGGAAGGAUCAUUAACACGUAUCCAAACGUUAAAACCCCCCCCGUGAACCUUCAUCCUGCUCUUGUAACCCGCGUAGUUCGCAAUCUCUGAUAAAUCAUAGCCCGGAAAGUUGUAGUGAUUCAGAGACCUUUGGCUACGUGCGAACAUUGGAACAGUUAUAAUCGAGCGUUUACGAUUCCUGUAGACCGUACACUCGGGCAGCAGCUUUGCCAAAGGGUCCCCAUGCCCCCUAAUAAACAGUUUAAUGUGAAGCUCAAUGUAAUACAUUGGGUAAAAAAACCGAACAACUGUUAACAAUGGAUAUCUUGGUUCUC
rnacentral:misc_RNA from 1 species